rnacentral:rRNA from 1 species
GAUGAACGCUGGCGGCGUGCCUAAUACAUGCAAGUCGAGCGAACGGACGAGAAGCUUGCUUCUCUGAUGUUAGCGGCGGACGGGUGAGUAACACGUGGAUAACCUACCUAUAAGACUGGGAUAACUUCGGGAAACCGGAGCUAAUACCGGAUAAUCUUUUGAACCGCAUGGUUCAAUAGUGAAAGACGGUCUUGGUGUCACUUAUCGAUGGAUCCCGGCUGCAUUAGCUAGUUGGUAAGGUAACGGCCUACCAAGGCAACGAUGCAUAACCGAACUGAUGGGGGGAUAGGCGACACUGGAACUGGGACACGGUCCAGGGUCCUGCGGUAGGCAGCAGUAGGGAAUCUGCCGCAGUGGGCGAAAGCCUGACGGAGCAGCGCGAAGUCAGUGAUAAAGGCCCUCGGUGCGUAAAACUCUGUUAUUAGGGAAGAACAUAUGUGGAAGGAGCUGUACAGAUCGUGACGGUACCUAAUCAGAAAGCCACGGCUAACUACGUG